rnacentral:lncRNA from 1 species
ACGGCUCGGGUGUGCCCUUUAUAAUGUAAAUAAUGGAGAAUUUUUUUUCUAUCUCUGACCUGUUUGUAUAAGCCAAGGUGAUUCCAGUGUGCCCGACACAGGAUAAGGGGCAUGGAGCCACUCUGCUAAGUCAGAUGCUGACUACACAAGAAUUCAUGGACGUGGUGCCUGGCUGCAGGUUUGCAGAGGGAGGCCAGGAGAAAGAGGUCGCCUUGCCCUGUGUGCUCUGCAGAGGAAUCCACGGGUCCCACCCAAGACCCUCCCCAAUUGUAUGGGGAAGUCGGGAGCCAGUGGCUCAGGUCUUCCAUGCUGGACACCUAAGGAUCUUCCCCUUCAGCAGCAGCACUGGCCUUGACUGCUGCUCUUCUGAAGGCAGGGCUCUGGGCCAUGUGGAGGCCUCCAGCCUUCUACCCUCCCCAACCCUGGCAGGCUGAUGCCCUCCCCAUGGCCACUGAGUGUGGGACGCCUGCCCACCUGCUACUCCACUCCAGGACACCAAGCACUACCUGUGCCUAAGACUCCAGAUCAAUCACACAGUCGCCACUUCUGCUCUUUGUGUGGGUUCCUGGUGAGAAUAGGACGGGGACAGGAGGAAGAUCCAGGGGACCUGCCACAGCAAAGAACAGAGACAGUACAGACCCCAAGACCGGAUGCCUCACUCAUUUGGGACGGUCAGAACGUGUCUACUUCUCUGCUUGGAUGGGCUUUAAAUUAUCCCAUAGGGGCCAAUUUCAAAUAAUUUCUUUUCCUGAUGGAAUUUACCUUAAUCUGUAUAUAACUUGUAAUUUUUUUUUCUAAUUCAUUUCUUUCCUUAUUUUAUUUCUUCCUUAACAGUAUUUUUGGCAUUGGACAACUUAUUCUGAAGAAAUGAUGUUAAUAUAAGUAUGUAGUGAAGGACCAAACCGUGUGAUAAGGUUGUGUGCUGUGUGAUCGGUACCCAGGGAGCGGGGCGGUGUUAAUGUGCCAAAUACCCCUGUGUCCCUCCCUCCAGGAGUUCCACGGUCACCACUGCCCACUUACCAGACAAUCAUAUGAUUUUGUUAAAUUUGAGUUUCAGUUACAUUUUAAGACAAGUGUUCUAUUUAUUUUAUUGUUUGGAAGGAGGGGGGCAUAUCCCAACAAGAUAAGAAGGAACAGAGACCGCCUGGGUUGUCAUUUAAAACUACAAGAGAUUGUGAUUGUGUGAGCGUCAGCAAACUCGGAGCACGCGUGUCAUGCCGUGGGCCUGUCAGCGGUUCCCUCUGGGAGCAACUUAAACAUCCAAGCACAGAUCUUUUAUAUUUGCUAAGGCCGUUCUGGGACAAAGACCGUCAUCUUUGCUGAUGCUCAGUGGUCCAGGCUACGCUGGGAUCCGUGAUGGGGAUAUCCCAGAAGACACCAUUCCCCUGCAGGUUGCGGUGAAUCUCAGUGACAUAGCAUGGAACAGUCAGUCCUGUGCCGUGCUCAGAAGCACACUCUCGAGUGCACACUGGACGGCCUGAGGCAGCAGGGACACUCUGCAGAGGAACUUGCCAUGGUCCAGUGGUAAGGAUUCGUAGGUCUAACUGCUCAUGCUUCUCAUGGGUUCGUGACAUCAUCUCCAUGGCGGGCCAGGCCUCGGCUUGAGAAUCCCAGUUUCCUCUAGGUGGGAGCUAGUCCUGUGUAAGUUCAACCUCAGAUAUACAUGCCCCACUUUUGUAAACCCCAAAUUAUAUGCUUUCUUC